AGCAGUAGCCGCGGUAAAACGGAGGGUGCAAGCGUUAUCCGGAUUUAUUGGGUUUAAAGGGUCCGUAGGCGGAUCUGUAAGUCAGUGGUGAAAUCUCACAGCUUAACUGUGAAACUGCCAUUGAUACUGCAGGUCUUGAGUAAAUUUGAAGUGGCUGGAAUAAGUAGUGUAGCGGUGAAAUGCAUAGAUAUUACUUAGAACACCAAUUGCGAAGGCAGGUCACUAAGAUUUAACUGACGCUGAUGGACGAAAGCGUGGGGAGCGAACAGGAUUAGAUACCCGUGUAGUCCCUGUCUCUUAUAA
rnacentral:rRNA from 1 species